rnacentral:SRP_RNA from 1 species
GCUGGGCAUGGUGGCGCAUGCCUGUAAUCCCAGCUACUCAGGAGGCUGAGGCAGGAGAAUUGCCUGAGCCCAGGAGGCGGAGGUUGCAGUGAGCUGAAAUCGCACCAUUGCACUCCAGCCUGGGUAACAAGAGUGAAACUCCAUCUUAUAAAAAAAAACAAACAACAAACAAAUAAAUAGGAUGCCUAAUCUUUUUUUUGAAAUGGAGUCUUGCUCUGUUGCCCAAGCUGGAGUGCAGUGGCAGGAUCUCAGCUCACUGCAACCUCUGCCUCCCGGGUUUCAGCUAUUCUCCUGCCUCAG